AGGCUUGGCAAGGCCGUGGCCAUGAGAGUCUGAGGGGAAGGAAGAGGAUUGUGCGAGAGCUUCCCUUUGCUAAACGAGAAAGGGCCGAGGAUUUCCUCGGUCCUGCUUGGAAGGCUUAAUGGAGUCAGCUUCCUGGGCCAGCGAGACUUGGACCUCUGAGACAAUCAUUGGUUGAUUCUUGUACGUGCCCUGUCCAGAGACUGAACCCACAACCUUGGCAUAUCUGGACCACCAACUGAGCUACCUGGCCAGGUGAAAAUGGUGUUUUGAUGGCAAGAGAGUAAAGUUUUUAUUCACUCUCCAAGAAAGGAGAGGGGCAUGGUGUGGAGAGAUACACCAGCUUUCCAUCUUAUCAGUGAAAACAAGCAGCCUUGCACGAUGGGCAGAGGAAGAUGGGUUUAGAGCUCCUCCUAAAUCUCCAUUCCUAGAAUUGUCAUAUUU